AUGGCGGGCAAGGAGGAGGUGGAGGCGGCGAGGAGGUGGAUGAUGAGCCCGUGCACCGCCGCCAAGUCUACGGACGGCGCGGCCGCCGGCGACGAUGGUCCGGUGAUGCGGUUCCCCUCCAAGAGGAAGGCGGCUUCCGGUUCCAUCUACAAGGUGGGUGAGCCGCUGCCGGCCAAUGGGUGGAUCCAUCCUGCGGGAGAAGGGGAUCUUUCCGCGUUACAUAGGAGGGAGGCAGCGAUCGACAAGAUGCUGCAGGAGUCCAAGCUGCCAGCCACAGUCAAGCAGGGCACCGAUGCCAACGCCGCCGUCAAGCAGAGCGCCGAUACCUCCGCCGUAGUCAAGCAGGGUGUGUAUUCCUCGGCGGCAGCGGCAUGUGGAAGCAAAGGGAAGAAGUAUCGGCUGAAGAAAAGCGAGCUGAGGACCAUAAUUGCCCUCAGGCCGGAGCCUUACCCCCCGGCAGACGACUAUCUCGAGCUGGCCCCGUUCUUCCCGCCAGGGUGGCUCGAGCAGAAGAAGCGGGAGGAGGAGGAGGAUGCGGUCCAAUUUGCCAGGAUGGAGGCGGAGUUUGAGGCCUUCCGGCAGCAGGUGAUUGAGGGGGUCAAGAAGAACGGCUACUUCGAGGUCGACGAGGACCCCUCGGAUGGCAGGGAAAGGGAGGAGGCUAAUGAAUACGCUAGGCAAGAAAUGGCAGAGAUUGACUUCAGUGAACUCCGUCUCCUUGAUGCUAGACCAAAUCUGCCACAGGCGAAAUUUUUUCCUUACGUUCCUAACGAGGACGACGCUCUUCUAGAUGACAUUCCCAGCGAUGAUGAUGAUUUUGAAGAGGAGGAUGCUCUGCCCAUCCAAGGAGAGGACUUCGAAGGGGAAGCCGCCGCCGCCGCUCACAAGCUUGUUCCUCCUAUUCAGUCCAGCUGA
rnacentral:rRNA from 1 species